AUGGAAUUAAGUAUCAGAAUUAUUAUUUGAAUUUAUUUAAAAACAAGCGAUAGAACACAGAAUAGUGACGGAAGCACUGCACCGUUAACGUACUCUGUGAAUUGGUGAAAAAUUGUUCUGCUAAUAACACUUGGGUCUAAACUUCCUUUUAACCCUUUUACCCUUAGAAAGCUCCUGAGGUAAUCUUGCAUUCUGAACAAACUGCAAAACACUUCUCUAAAAGGCUUCCAUUUUGUGUCACAUAUCCUGAAAUAAUCUAAAAAUACUUUUGUCACUUUUUUGGGGAGUUAUUAAUGUCAAUAUCAAGCCCCCUCAAAGAUCCUCAGUACUCUGAGUCCUAUCUAGUUUUUCUAAUGUCCUAUGCUAAUGUUGCUGUCUGACCUUUACAGGAGUAGACAGGUGGGAAAAUACAUGUAUCCUGUCAGCUCCCUAAUGACUUCCUAACCAGAAUAGACCCUUCUGUGCCAGCUGUGCCACCCAAAAUUCCCCCUUUUACACUGAACUGAUUUGCAUUUAAAGAAGUUUUAGUGAGACUACCUGACAGAGAUUCAGCUGCUUUGCCAGAGAUGGUUUGCUACUGAGUUCUUCAAAUGGAUCCUGGGUUUUAGCAGUCCAUGAACCAAGGUCCAUGCCUAGCAUCCUGGUCCAGUAUCAAAGCUAUUUUGCAUGGAUUAAACAUGGAUCCAAGUGCUUUGCUAGACUCAGAAUAAAGCAUCUCAUAAAGUAUAUUUUUAACCUUGGAGCAGCCAGGAGCUUUUCUUCAUGAAGGAGCACAGCCCCAGUGUUCUUUCUGACAUGGGAAUCCUACAGGAUAUUUUCUACAUCUGUUAAUGGGACGAAAAAAAGGAAUUAGCAGGAGGUUGGAGGAAGACACCUUGAUGUUUUUAGGAGGAUGGAGAACUGCUCUCUAUUAAGAACAAAUGACCCAGUCCUGUGCUACAAACUUGCUGAAGCUAUUACUGGAUUUAGAAGUUGUAAAGAAAAACUGUGUGUAUCUGCAUGUACACUGGGAAGCUGUUCUUACUACUCUUUCCUCUGUCUUUAAGAGAAUGCUGCUGGCAACAUCAAGUCUGAACAUACUGUUUAAGACCUUUCUCAGCUCAACACCGUUACCUCAGCCCUCAACAUUUGCAUCUCACCUGCUCAUUGUUAAUCUAAGCAGAGAUAAGUUGAAGAUGAUGCUGUCUGCAUUUAUCUGAAGAUGACAGAACUUCUAUAUGCAACUAUCAUUUUGUAUCAGGAAUUCGCUGCACUCAGCAGAGUCCAUGGCUGAUUAUGUGUGGCCAUGCCACAGAAGCCCACACAGCACAAGCCACUGACAUUACUUCCUCUAGCAGUACUGCUUCUGCAAGAACUGUGGAUGAACAGAAGAGUAACAGCAGCGCAGAAGCCAACAACUGCUAAGGACUCUCUUUAAGACCUAAGUUAAUUUUUGAACAGUGAAUAUCUUGUCCAAAACAAGAUUUGCAACAGAAGGAUUAAAAGAAAGAUUGCAAAUAGUUAUUGUAAAACAUGGAUAAUAUGAUUCCUGAUCCAAGCUCAAAAUAUCUACAGACAUAAAAUAUAGGAGAGGUAUGUUCUGAUUCUUGAAUCUAUUACCUUCUGAAUUAAGAAAUAUAAAUUUCUGAGAUAUUUUAAAGUCUUACGAGAAACUACAAAGGAAAAAAGAAAUCUUAUUUGGAAUUCUUGCUUCCACAACACCAUGAUUUUCAUUCCUGCAAUAGUUUUGUGAGGCAGUGGGGUGGUGCAAAUGCAAUCAGGUCAUAAUGCAGCUCUGUUUCAUUUGCCAUAGCAAUUUUGAGUAACAUAAUUGCACGAUGACUCUUUUUGCAUUUUGCUAGUGAAAUGCUGCAUCCUCCGCCCUUUGAAGACUGUAUUCUGAUAUGCAAAUUUUUACCUAUGUCACAGAAAACAAAUUUAUCUUCACAUGAUAUGAAAAGGAGAAAAUAAGUUUCUUGUGCAGCUUGGAGUCUGUAUUGGGGUUUUUCUGUCCUAGAUACUUUUAGCCUUAUUUUUGCUGCACACUUUUAUAAGAUUUUUUUUGCAUUGCUACCACCUAAUGGUCAUAAUGUCUUGUCUUAACUCUAAUGGUAGUAAUUUUGUCUCACUCAUGUCCAGCUUUCAGACAGAAAUCAUACAAUAGCUUUUGUCUUUUUAUAAGAAAGUAAAAUAGUAGUAAAAUACUAAAAUUACUGCCAGACUUUCAUCACCCAUUUUUUCUAUUUGCAUGGCAAAGUCUUUCUUCCUCAGUGUUCCUGAAAUUCUAAUGAUAAAGAGGGUUAUGAUUAAUUUUCAGGUAGAAUAACCCUUUUCUAAAUGCAUACUGCUCAAUAAAUGAACAAGCUGCUUACAGUAAUUAAAGUAAUGUCAUGCUGUGCUCAAAUUGCUUGUGCUAAUAAAGCUAAUUGGCAACAGCAAGCAUUAACUGUGAUUAGUCAUAUGCAUCUAAUGUCAUCACCAGUGCCUAUAAUUUUCUACACAGAGGGAAUUUCACAUCUGUUUUAAAUCACUUGUCUGUUGCCUGCAUUGGUGUUCUUUCUGAUAUUGUUGAAACAGAGAUUCUCUUACUACAAUAGAUGAUAAAAAAAGUUGAUUUUCUCUUUUCAAACAAAGAACUGCAUAGUAGAGAAUAAGAUAUGAAGCCUUUCCAAGUCAUUUAUUCUGAAAUAAGUGCUUGAUUUCAGUUAAAUUAGAAAUCUGCAUUUUCCUUCUUUUGUAUAUAGUCUGAUAUUCCCUUCAACAGAACAUAUUUGUAACAGAACAUUCAUUUUCUCAAUUUAGACUGCACACUGUAUUUCCCCAUAAAAUGGAUGAGUCAAAAGAUCCAUUUUGUAUUUGUUUUGGAAAUUUGCAAUAAAUCAUUUUCAGGAAGACAAGCUUUUGCACCAUACACUAACUCUUAGCUGUAAAUAGAAUAAUAAUUAUUUUCUGUGUCAAUCCAAAAAGAUAAAUGUUGAAUUAUCAAGAAUCAGGGGGCUGAAAAUGGACUUUUAGAGACCAAAAUCAUCCAAUAAUUCAUACAAGUGUUUUUCAUGAGUUACAUUUACCAGACCUCUCCAAUUUGCAUAGCUUUCUCUGUCGAAAUGGGUACAUUUUUCUAGAAACACAAAAGUGUUCUCCAGUUCUCCAGCUGCAGUUUUUUCCUGUGAUGAAUGGAGUAAAUAUUUCAUGUGUUAAUCUGUUUGCUACAGUUCUUAGUUUGCUUUUGUCCAGCUGCUUGGAUUUAUUGAUUUAUGUUUAGUUGAUGUUUGGCCUUACAGCUCACAGUUUCAUGGACUAUGUAAAACGGUGAAGCUAGCCUGUCACCUCAGGAUCAGCAAAGGCAAACCAACCCAUCCCAACUUACUCAGAGAGAUAUCUCAAUGAAAGGGAACAUGUGCUCUAUGAAUAGCUCUAGUGAUCUCUCUUUUUUUUUUUUUUACAGCAAUUUUCCUGACUUUUUCCACUUCAGAUUUCAGUUCUAUGUCCAUUAUUCAAAAUGUUACCUAGCUGAUUGCAAUUUCUCUUUUUUAUCCCAUUUCAGAGUAUGAUAAGGUCAUGACUUUUUUUCAUCGUUUUUCAUUUUCUAAGACUAAGUUCCAGAUGUACUCAUAAAAAUCCUCAUAAAUUUGGGAUUUGACAUGAUUUUACUCAUAUGCAUCAUAUGCAUCACUGUGACCCAGCUCUGUGGUUAAUGUGAGGAUGGUAUCAGCACUCUUUCAUAGAAGAACCUUAAGUUUCACAACAAAACUUAAUUGUAAAGAGGUAAAGAGCCUGAUCUUUACCCAUAACAAAACAUCCAAUUCUGAAUCAGCUUCAAUUUCUUGGACAGUUUUUGCUUAUGUAGACCACAAAUGGUUUCAUUUUAUUGGGGUUUUUGAGAGAUCCAGUAAAAAUCAAGGAUACACAUUUGAAAUCACAUCUAGAACUGCAGGUAUUAACUUUCAUUUUACCAGAUUACAACAUCAACUUCAUAAUAUCUUUUUUAAAUUAUCUAAGCAACUUGUUUGUGAGCUCAGAGGGCAGUUUUCACAUGGCUCACUUUUACCUAUGUGAGUGGGCAGCUGCAUGGUAUUUAGUUGCUGGCUGGGGUUAAGCCAUAACAAGUCCAAAGACUCUGGAGUUUUUCCAUUUUUGACUUGGAUAACUUUGAAAGUUCCCAGAGCCUUUGUAACAACAGCAGUACUUGUAUUUUAGGAAACAGUAAUCCUGUUUGCUUGGGCACACAAAAUCAGUAACCUACCUCUGCAAAAUCUCUAAAAAAACCCCCAAGCUUUUACCCAUGUGUACCCAAGAGUACUCUGCAUUUGUUUUUUGAGCUCAUCAGCACCACUAAAAACCAGUUCACUCUUUCUUUCCAAUAGAGUGAACUCAGAUACUGACAAACACUGUCCAGGGAGCACAGUUAGGACUCCUGGUCUUGUGGGUGACUGGGCAUAGGUGGUUAGGGAGAGUGUUUUAUAAUUGAAGACUUCAGGACCCAAGUUCAGAUACUCUCUGCUACAGAAGUUUACUAUGAUUGAAAAGAGAGUGCACAUGAUCAUAUACAAUGCAACCACAAAAAUAACUGAUGUUGAGACUGAUUAUGAAGAGAAACCACUUAGUCUGUAACCAAAAGAGAGACUGCAAUGACAGGAACAAGUUUAAGUUUCUCAUGAUUGCUUUCAGGGAGUUUGGGUGGAUGCUCUGCACUGGUUAAGACAGUGAUGUAUUUGUUAUAAUCUGCCUUCAAGAGGGUCAAAAGUCCUCUGACAUCAGUGCUGCCUGUCAAGAGCAGAAUAGAGAGUAACUGGUUUUGGUUGAUAAAUGCUACUUUGUACUAGUGGAGGGGAAAAUCACAGAAAUAGGGCCUAUUUUUAUGGGGGUUUAAGGAUACCAAGCUAAUAACAAGUAAGCAUAGGUUGUAAUAAGGAAUAAAAUUAGAAAAGAAAUAGAUAAAUGCAAUCUUUUUUGGCAAACGGGGAAGGUUAAAGGGAAGUUGUGCCCCACAAACCUGUGAGAUUCAGUAUUACAAAUGGGAUUGUGACCUGUAAAGCUAAUCCUAACAACAGAAG